rnacentral:rRNA from 1 species
GACGAACGCUGGCGGCGUGCCUAAUACAUGCAAGUAGAACGCUGAAGGAGGAGCUUGCUUCUCCGGAUGAGUUGCGAACGGGUGAGUAACGAGUAGGUAACCUGCCUGGUAGCGGGGGAUAACUAUUGGAAACGAUAGCUAAUACCGCAUAAGAGUAGAUGUCGCAUGACAUUUGCUUAAAAGGUGCAACUGCACCACUACCAGAUGGACCUGCGUUGUAUUAGCUAGUUGGUGAGGUAACGGCUCACCAAGGCAACGAUACAUAGCCGACCUGAGAGGGUGAUCGGCCACACUGGGACUGAGACACGGCCCAGACUCCUACGGGAGGCAGCAGUAGGGAAGCUUCGGCGAUGGACGGAAGUCUGACCGAGCAACGCCGCGUGAGUGAAGAAGGUUUUCGGAUCGUAAAGCUCUGUUGUAAGAGAAGAACGAGUGUGAGAGUGGAAAGUUCACACUGUGACGGUAUCUUACCAGAAAGGGACGGCUAACUACGUG